rnacentral:rRNA from 1 species
GGAUCCUUCGGGAUUAGUGGCGGACGGGUGAGUAACACGUGGGAACGUGCCCUUUGGUUCGGAACAACUCAGGGAAACUUGAGCUAAUACCGGAUGUGCCCUUCGGGGGAAAGAUUUAUCGCCAUUGGAGCGGCCCGCGUCUGAUUAGCUAGUUGGUGAGGUAAAGGCUCACCAAGGCGACGAUCAGUAGCUGGUCUGAGAGGAUGAUCAGCCACAUUGGGACUGAGACACGGCCCAAACUCCUACGGGAGGCAGCAGUGGGGAAUCUUGCGCAAUGGGCGAAAGCCUGACGCAGCCAUGCCGCGUGAAUGAUGAAGGUCUUAGGAUUGUAAAAUUCUUUCACCGGGGACGAUAAUGACGGUACCCGGAGAAGAAGCCCCGGCUAACUUCGUGCCAGCAGCCGCGGUAAUACGAAGGGGGCUAGCGUUGCUCGGAAUUACUGGGCGUAAAGGGAGCGUAGGCGGACUGUUUAGUCAGAGGUGAAAGCCCAGGGCUCAACCUUGGAAUUGCCUUUGAUACUGGCAGUCUUGAGUACGGAAGAGGUAUGUGGAACUCCGAGUGUAGAGGUGAAAUUCGUAGAUAUUCGGAAGAACACCAGUGGCGAAGGCGACAUACUGGUCCGUUACUGACGCUGAGGCUCGAAAGCGUGGGGAGCAAACAGGAUUAGAUACCCUGGUAGUCCACGCCGUAAACGAUGAGUGCUAGUUGUCGGCAUGCAUGCAUGUCGGUGACACAGCUAACGCAUUAAGCACUCCGCCUGGGGAGUACGGUCGCAAGAUUAAAACUCACAUGAAUUGACGG